GACCCUAUAGAGUUUUAUAUUUAAUUUAUAAAUUAUUUUUUAGGAUUUAUUAUUAAUUUAUAAAUUAAAUAUUUGAUUGGGGUGAUUGAAAAAUUUAAAUAACUUUUUUUAUAUUUAAACAUUAAUUUAUGAUUGUUUGAUCCAUUAUUUAUGAUUAUAAGAUUAAAUUACCUUAGGGAUAACAGCGUAAUUUUUUUUGAGAGUUCAAAUCGAAAAGAAAGAUUGCGACCUCGAUGUUGGAUUAAAGUUUAUUUUUGGUGUAGAAGCUAAAUUUAUUGGGUCUGUUCGACCUUUAAAAUUUUACAUGAUCUG
rnacentral:rRNA from 1 species